UAGUAUUAGAUAUAUGCUUGAAACUUAAAGAAUUUGGCGGUAUUUUAAUCUUUUCAGAGGAACCUGUUCUAUAAUCGAUAUUCCACGUUAAAUUUUACUAAAUUAUUUGUAUAUCGUUGUCGAAAAAAUAAAUUUUUUAAUAUUAAGAUUAUAAUAUAUGUCAAAUCAAGGUGCAGUUUAUAAUUUAGUAGAAAUGGGUUACAAUAAAUUUAUUUAGGAUUUAAAUGAAAGUGGAUUUGAAAGUAAAUUAAUUUUAAUAAAU
rnacentral:rRNA from 1 species